UACGGGGGGAGCAAGCGUUGUCCGGAAUUAUUGGGCGUAAAGAGCUCGUAGGCGGUCUGUUGCGUCCGCUGUGAAAACUCAGGGCUUAACCCUGAGCUUGCAGUGGGUACGGGCAGACUAGAGUGCGGUAGGGGAGACUGGAAUUCCUGGUGUAGCGGUGAAAUGCGCAGAUAUCAGGAGGAACACCGGUGGCGAAGGCGGGUCUCUGGGCCGUAACUGACGCUGGAGGAGCGAAAGCAUGGGGAGCGAACAGG
rnacentral:rRNA from 1 species